GGAGGAGUCGCCUAGUGGUCGAUGGCAGAGGUUUGCUAAACCUCGAUCCGCAGGGGUCACGUGGGUUCGAAUCCCACCUCCUCCG
rfam:Microgenomates (Woesebacteria) bacterium GW2011_GWA1_39_12 TT23_C0006, whole genome shotgun sequence.